rnacentral:rRNA from 1 species
CCUACGGGAGGCAGCAGUGGGGAAUAUUGGACAAUGGGCGCAAGCCUGAUCCAGCGACGCCGCGUGAAGGAAGAAGUAUUUCGGUACGUAAAGCUCUAUCAGCAGGGAAGAAAAUGACGGUACCUGACUAAGAAGCCCCGGCUAACUACGUGCCAGCAGCCGCGGUAAUACGUAGGGGGCAAGCGUUAUCCGGAUUUACUGGGUGUAAAGGGAGCGUAGACGGCUUCGCAAGUCUGAAGUGAAAGGCCGGGGCCCAACCCCGGAACUGCUUUGGAAACUGUGAAGCUGGAGUGCAGGAGAGGUAAGCGGAAUUCCUGGUGUAGCGGUGAAAUGCGUAGAUAUCAGGAGGAACACCGGUGGCGAAGGCGGCUUACUGGACUGUAACUGACGUUGAGGCUCGAAGGCGUGGGGAGCAAACAGGAUUAGAUACCCUUGUAGUC